UUCAACAAGUUGUUAUUUUACCAAAGCAAAAUUACUGCUUCGCAACACUGUCCAGAGACAUUCACUCUGAUAUCUAACCUGUUAAAACAAUACAGUGUACAAUCAUAAGGUUAAACAGUAAUGAAGCAAUGGCAAUGACAAGUGAUUUAAACCACCAUCUUCACUGAUGCAAUAUGACCAGUUUGGGGUGAUGAACAGAAUGUGUGCCUUAAUACAUGUACGAUUUUGGGUGACCUAAAAUAAAAAGCAUUAAAUCAGAAUGGCCGUGGAUUCUGCUGUGGACGAGUGCCACAGGCAAUCACAUCAAUGCUGAUAUGGCAUUGUUUGGAGUUGGGAAAUCUUUUCAGUUUAUCAGUUUUAGCUCUAUGGCUGAAUUUGAACUUUUCAAGUAAAGUUACAUGAGCAGACCUUUAGGAACACUCUGUGGUCUAACAUAAUUCAAUAAAAUAAAAAAAAUGACCCUAAUUUUAUGCUGAUUUAUUUUCUACUGCAGGACACAGAGCCAGAAGACAUUCACAAGGGGAGAAGAUGAGGAUCUUAACUAUCGUUGAAGAUGAUGUUGCCACUAUCCACCAUCCACCCAAACUUAAAUAUAAGUUGCCUCUCUGUAGUAGAGCAGAUUGGGCCAGGUUUAGUGCAUGUAGUCAAUCGAAAAAAAUUGCUCUACCAUGUCCAGUCGGAGGCUCAAGAAUGGAGACAUUGGAAUGUCCUCAUUCUCCUGACAUCUGGUCACUUCAGCAUGGUGUUCUUCUGUUUAAAGAUUUCCUCAUUUGUCUGGUUUUAAAGGACCAAGUGUCAGCAUUACAGGAAAGGCACAGAUGGGUGAAAGCUGAUGAAUGACACAAGUUUUUCCUCUAUAUGUAUUCAGCAGUGGCAUAGUUGAAUGGGGCAUAUACAUACUUGGUCCAACACACACGCAAGUGUGUGCACAACAAACAGGAUAUUUGACAAAAAAGAGCAGAAGGGGUUUUACAUAACACUUUCCUUACCAGAGGCAGAAGAAAUACAACACAAGUACCAGAGUUUAGUUAAACAUUAACUGAGUUUCUGAGUGUCCAUGGAAAAGUGCAAAA